GAUGAACGCUGGCGGCGUGCCUAAUACAUGCAAGUCGCGCGAAGCGGGGCCGGGUGAGUAACACGUGGAUAACCUCCUAUAAGACUGGGAUACAUUCGGGAAACCGGAGCUAAACCGGAUGCUUACAGAUGGAUCCUCGCUGCAUUAGCUAGUUGGUAAGGUACAGGCUUACCAGGGACACGAUGCAUAGCCGUCCGGAGAGGGGGAUCGGCCACACUGGAACUGAGACACGGUCCAGACUCCUACGGGAGGCAGCAGGAGGGAAUAUUCCGCAAUGGGCGAAAGCCUGACGGAGCAACGCCGCGUGUGUGAUGAAGGUCUUCGGAUCGUAAAACUCUGUUAUUAGGGAAGCGGUACCUAAUCAGAAAGCCACGGCUAACUACGUGCCAGCAGCCGCGGUAAUAC
rnacentral:rRNA from 1 species